UGGAGUAGUCCUCACCAGAAUGGGGUUCAAACAAAUAGUCUCCAGUAGCAAGCUCAAAGGCCUAGGAAACAAACAAAAAAGGAACAAGUGUUCAAUGCAUGUGCCUGAUGGCUGAUGGACCAUAAGACCAGAAAACUGUCUCUUGCUUUAUGUGUUUUUUUUGUCCAUCUUUUCAUGAUUUUCACCUGACAGCUUAGCCACUUCAGCCCCUCUCACACAGAAGGCGUGUGCAUGGCAUUUAAAGGUACAUGUAGCACUCGCCAUGAUCUCACAAUGAUAAUGCAU